GGGUAAAGCAUUGAUAUCAAUAUAUUUGUUCUUGGCAUGGGCUUCACUUGGACUUCUGGUUGUUUUUGUGGACAGUGUAUUCACGUGAUGCUUGGGUCUGAUGAUUAUGAUUAUAAGAGAAUACUAGGUAGACAGUUCUGUCCAACAGUUGACUUAAUCAUGUUAAAGAUAUGCCUAGCUUCAACCUUUGUUCUCUUGCUGGGACACCUGGGCUUACAGUUCACUUUUGUUUGUUCUUGCAGCCUGAUUUCCAGAUAUAUGCAGGUCAAUGGACUGACUCAGCCUGUCCUCCUGCCACACCCCCCUGGGAGCCUUUGUCAUUGGUCAGCACUUUCUUCUGAAGGAGGUGGGCUCACCAUCAGUCUGGGUGUGUGCAGUAGAAAUCAGGACAAUGAUUCUGCCACAGGGAUGGUGUCAUCCAGCAGCUAGAGGCUAAAAAGGGGCACUCUACAAACCGACUGAACGCAUAAUGAGUUAUAAUCAGAAACACAAGCAAAUUGAAGCAAAACUGUGACUGUCAACAAUGAGUUGGAACAUUAUAUUCUCAGUUCAGCGAAG
rnacentral:lncRNA from 1 species